GCUGCAUUUCCGAGUUGGACUACACUGAAUUAUUGCAAAAGAGACGAGAAGAGGAUUUAUUGUGUAAAGGAGUGUAAUAAUUAUAAAUUGUGUCUCACAUGUGUAGAGUUUUCCAUUGUGUCAAAGUUCCCCCCAAAAGUUCUCGACGUGGUGCUUUUUCAAAAUAGCUUCCGACAUUAAUAAACAUUUUGAAAUUAAUGGCUGAAUUUUAAUAUAACAACGACAAACAGUUUCUGCAUGAAAAGUUACUUAAUUAAUUGUGUAAACUUGCAAGAGGAAUGUCACUUAAAAAGAAGAAAUACUUCUACCUUUUAUUGACAUUUGUACUUAUUAGCUUUUUAACAAUCGAUGGAUUUCAGUUCAGAAAAUUCCCUCAACAAAUCGAAAGGAAACUUGAGAGUUUAGAACUACAUCCCGAAGGGGAUCAAUUGAGUUCUCACCGUUCAAAAAGGUGUAUCGUCGUUCAGAAGCAAUCUCAUUCUCCUCACCGAACUAGUUCAUACGAUGACGAUUACGAGGACGAGAAUAGUGAUAGCGAAUCAUCCUUUGAGAACUACAAAAAGCGUCUAAAACGAAUACAAAAGUUGAGCAGGAAUUCCAAUCGUAGGAAGUUUAAUUUAGCAAAGAAAAGUCUUCAAAAUGGUAGUCCAAGAAUGCCUUGAAUUUGCAGAGAAACACCUUCCCAAAACAAGAAAUAUAGGGGAAACUGGGGCACAACCAAACACUAAUUUUUAUUUCUAAACUACUUCGACUAUCUCGACCAUUCCUUCAGUGGACAA